GAUGAACGCUGGCGGCGUGUCUAACACAUGCAAGUCGAGCGAAGCACUUACUUUAGAUUUCUUCGGAAUGACGAAGUUUGUGACUGAGCGGCGGACGGGUGAGUAACGCGUGGGCAACCUGCCCUGUACAGGGGGAUAACAGUUAGAAAUGACUGCUAAUACCGCAUAAGCCCACAGCUUCGCAUGAAGCAGUGGGAAAAACUCCGGUGGUACAGGAUGGGCCCGCGUCUGAUUAGCUAGUUGGUAAGGUAACGGCUUACCAAGGCGACGAUCAGUAGCCGACCUGAGAGGGUGACCGGCCACAUUGGGACUGAGACACGGCCCAAACUCCUACGGGAGGCAGCAGUGGGGAAUAUUGCACAAUGGGGGAAACCCUGAUGCAGCGACGCCGCGUGAGCGAUGAAGUAUUUCGGUAUGUAAAGCUCUAUCAGCAGGGAAGAAAGUGACGGUACCUGACUAAGAAGCCCCGGCUAACUACGUG
rnacentral:rRNA from 1 species